UUAUGUGAAAAUCUAUUUACUGAAAACCCUAAACCCUACUUUCCAUUCCACUCUCCCCCACGCCCAAAAUAUCCAGUUUCAUUACAAAAACUCCGUGCCCUCGAUCCACUCCCAUUCUCCAUCCAUAUUUUCUUGUCAGCAAUGGCUACGAAAUGCAGCCGAAUCAUCAACAAAGCUUCCAUUUCAACUCUUAGAUCCAUCUUGAAGAAAUCAAAUUCUCCUUCUUGUCUUCCCAGAACCUACACGUCGUCGUUUGCUAAACCAUCUCUGCCUUCAAAACCCGCCCCUUCAAUCUGGAGGUGUCCGGCAGAGCUGGGCUGCGUGGCGUCAAUGCUGCCGCUGCAUAGCGUGGUUGCUACGGCUAGGAUGACGUCAUGCCUGAGCUCAUCAUCGAGGAGUUGCAGGGCUCUUUCUCAGGGCAUAUGUUUUGGGGUAAAAGGCAUUGAAGCUAUCUGACUGGAAUAUUUGGUUCCUGCAGGCACAUGAAUUUCCAAAUGCUUGAAAGAAAUACCAGAAUUUUACAAGAUGAAAUUGAUGGAACGUGAAACAUUUUUUCAAGAUGGGCUCCGUCAUCUGCUUGGAAGUUAAUUUCAAGGAUAUUUAUGCUACCUCUAUACUACAUGUCUCAGGAUGAAUCAACCAUCAACCUGCCAGAAUUAGCCUCUUCUUUGAUUUUCUAUUGAUUACUUUAGCUGUUUUUAGAGAAAGUUAAUAAACUGGGAUCGUUAAGCAUCAAUGAUUUUAUUUUAUUGAAUGCUUAAGAGAGAUUUUUUUUAUUUAUCAUCAAGUGGGUAUUUUGCUCGUAUUGUUUUCUUAUAUGAACUUUUUGUUUCUUGAAUUAGAGCUAGGCCUAUCAGUUCCAAGGUGACUUUGUUAGCAGACUGUCAGAGAGUUAUCUUCAUUUGAACGGAAAAAAGGGGAGGUUCUACUUCAUUUAUUCCAGCAUAUACAUUCAAUUUCUUAAAAGUUGCUUGAAGUUGUAGAAUUGAGUUUGAUUAUUGUAUGUUUCAUUUAAAUUGCUGGAAAUAGCCUUGUUAUUCAUGUUCUGAAUGUUGCCUUUUUGAGAUUUUUGUUUUAGUUUGAACUGAAAUUUAUUUGGGCAUAUCCUUGAAAUUUUUACCUUUUGAUCGAUUA